UAGGGAAUCUUCCACAAUGGACGCAAGUCUGAUGGAGCAACGCCGCGUGAGUGAAGAAGGCUUUCGGGUCGUAAAACUCUGUUGUUGGAGAAGAAUGGUCGGCAGAGUAACUGUUGUCGGCGUGACGGUAUCCAACCAGAAAGCCACGGCUAACUACGUGCCAGCAGCCGCGGUAAUACGUAGGUGGCAAGCGUUAUCCGGAUUUAUUGGGCGUAAAGCGAGCGCAGGCGGUUUUUUAAGUCUGAUGUGAAAGCCCUCGGCUUAACCGAGGAAGUGCAUCGGAAACUGGGAAACUUGAGUGCAGAAGAGGACAGUGGAACUCCAUGUGUAGCGGUGAAAUGCGUAGAUAUAUGGAAGAACACCAGUGGCGAAGGCGGCUGUCUGGUCUGUAACUGACGCUGAGGCUCGAAAGCAUGGGUAGCGAACAGGAUUAGAUACCCUGGUAGUCCAUGCCGUAAACGAUGAAUGCUAGGUGUUGGAGGGUU
rnacentral:rRNA from 1 species